ensembl:lincRNA
ACCCAACCCCAACUCUAGGUCUGUCGGGAGUCUGCCUCACGUACCCCUCAUUCAUUCACUUGGCCGACAAAGUCUUCUGGAGAAUCUUCAGCCCACCUGCCUGCAUCCUGCUCCAGCAGGAAGAGGUGGGCACCCAUUAGCCACCACUCCAUCCCAUGUCUCACCAGAUAACUUGGGAGACCAGACAAGGGUCCCUGCAGGCAGAGAGUCUUAAGCAGGACCCAUAAAUUCCCUAAAACUGCAGACAAAAUUUUGAGGAUGGUUCAUAUGUGUAUGUUUGGAAGAGAUAGUCUAUAUUUUCAUCAGGUUCUCAAAAGUGUCCGUGAAGCCAUUUUGCUCCUCCCUACCACAAACACCCCUCUCUGUUUUGUCCUCUCACUGAACUCAAAUACUCUCAGAUGUUCAGCUUCUGUUACCUCAGAUUUUCAGAAAACACUUCUAACUGCAUCAUGUGUCUUAGGCGCUGUUAUCCCAUUUUACAGAUGAGGAUUUGAGGCUACGGGGUACAUGACUUGCCCAAGGUCACAGCUAAUAAGCAGAGAAGCAAGACUGGAACGUGGUUCUGACUCCCAAUGUGCCACUCCUUGGGGAACUCUCACCCAAACCCUCUAGCUACCCCACCUGUUGGUGGAUUGGCUUCCUCACCACAGAAAUCUACCUGGAGCCUUCAGGUUCUAUCUGCCUGGUUCCAUGGCCCCAAAGAGCAGGUUUCCCUACAUUACCCCGCCCCUCGGGCUCUGGCUGAGGCUGCGCGCAGGCCCGGGAGCGCGAGGUUUGGGCCGCUAGAUGGUGGCCGGGUUCAGCCCACCGAGAAGGGCUACUCCAGCGACCAGAGCACCCAAGGUCCAGGCACAUUCCGGGCGGUGCGCAGCUCCUGCCCAUUCGGAUGGCUCAUUUAUACCCUUUAGACUUGAGGCUAUGACAUGCGACCCAGCUGGCUGCACCUAGCUGAGGCUGAUAGAAGCUUGAACUUCCCCAUGGCAAACAGAGCUCCAUACUUGGGGGAUCUUCACUCCCAGCCUGACAAACAGGACAGUGAUGAAGGAUCAAGGCUGAAAGAUGAUGGAGUCCUGGCCACUGGGCAUCUGAAGACUGGCAAGCUGGCUGCAAGAGGUAGGUCUGGGUCAGAGUUGAGACUCUGCCCCUUGACCACUCUCUCUGGGCCAAGCCCCUAGGCUGCAAGGUCCCUAUAAGACACUGCCAGACCCUCUAUUCUCUAGACUUUCUCCUUGCCCUUCCUGCUUCUAAGCUUCUUGCCUGUCUCCUAGUUUCCCAUCCUGAUAGUUUUAUGCCUCGUUCUCUCUUCUCAACCUAGUUCCUUCCAUUUGACAAAUCAUCUGGGUAGCCUGCUCAAUUUUCAAAUCAAAAUACAUGAAUUUUAUCACAAAAAUAAUUUUUGCACCUUUCAGGAAAUUGUGGGAAGAAAACAAGAACAAAGGCAAAAUUGAAAAUCAUUUUCAUCAUGCUACCCAGAGACAGCCACUUUUUAACCUGAUGUGUUUUCUCCUUUCCCCCCACCUUGACCGUGUUUCAUAUAAAGUGCUUUUUUAAUGGUCUAGUACUGUAAGUAGUUUCAUGGCCUGUGAUCUGUUUUUUUCCACUUAGCUUCCUAUCAUGAACAUUUUCCCACAGCCGUAAAUAUACCUCUAUGCCACUCUUUUAAAUUACUGAAUAACAUUUCAUAUGAUUUAAUGUUUUUGCUCUCAUGUUGAAAUUCAAAGAAAUGCUCUUUGCAGUUCAGCUGUUGGACAUACACUUAAUAGCUUCUCUAGAUGUGGACGCACAGGUUAAAAUGAUGCAUGUUUUGGAAGCUUGUAAUAAGUAUUGACAAAUCUCCCUGAACAAUAUUGGCCCACUCUUCACUCUCCAGAAGCAUAUGACAUACUUCCUCAUUCUCUCAAAUGAGCUAUUCUCUUUGUGAUUUUUUUUUUUUUUUUUUUUUUUGGUGUUUGUUUUCACAGUCCCAUGACUGCAUAGCUCCCACUCCCCACCACCACUGGGCACCCACUUCACAUGUCAGACGUGUAAGCAUCGGCAAUCCACCCUCAAAACCUUUGUUUAUAUAUAUGUGUGUGUAUCCCCAAACAAUAUACAAUAUUGCUUUGAGAGGCCAUUUAUAAAAUCUCAUGUAAAGGCUACUGUGCUACGUAUUACAUUCCACUGCCCCUUUUUGUUCAAUCAAUACGAGUGUUUUGUUCUUGUUUUUGUUUUUUACUGAGAUCUGUGCUAACUUAGGUAACUCAAAGUCAUUUCUUUUAACAACUGUUUAAUUGUUGUCUUUAUUUUUGAGAUUCACCUGCAGACUGAUGGAGCUUGUUGCCAUCAUGUUGCUGUUAUAAACAAUGCUGUGAUGAACAUCUCCAUACCUGUCUCUCUAUCUCUGCUAGAGUUUCUAAGCACAAGUGGGAUUGUUGGGUCCCAAAGACACAGGGCUAGCUGUGUCUUUCCAACUCUUUUGACUAUGACACAUUGUAAGAAAUACAUUUUUUACAUCAGAAUCUGGUAAGGGUCUCUCCAUGAACACAAUUGAAACAAAAGUUUAGUGAAAUAGUGCUUAUCUUUAUCAUAAGAAAAACAUUAUUGUGUGUUUUAUUCUACUUAACUCAAUUUCCUUUUUUAAACAUUGAUCACAACUUACUAAUCUAAUUUUGUAACCUGUUAAUGGCCCAUGACUCACAGUUUGAAAAAUAAUGGAGUAAAAUGUAUUCAGUUUCAUGAAAUACUUGGAAAUGACACUUUAGAGUGGCUAUGCUAAUUUACAAUGCUUUAGGUUCUCGUCGCCCUCCAUCCUGGCCAGCACUUGAUUUUUUUUUUUUUUUUUGCCAGUCUGAUGAAUCUAAAGUAGAAUGUCACUGUUUUUAUUUUUCUUUCUCUGAUUUCUAGUAAGUUGUUUUUCUUCAUAUGUUUAUUCACUACUUGUGUUCCUCAGAAAGUGAGUUUGCCUGUAAGAAAACUUGAGUUCCUCAGAAAGUGAGUUUGCUACUAAGUUUCCCUUAUAAUUGAGAUUUUAAUUUUUUUAUCAUCUGUUGUUGUACAUAUGCUGCAAGUGCCUUUUCCCAGACUGUUAAUCAUUCAUUAACUUCAUGAUGUUAUUUAUUGAACAGAAAUCCAUCAGUUAUUUCCUUUAUGGUUUUGCAUCUUAUUUAAGAAAUGCUUUCCUAACUCAAUACCAUAAAGACUUGCCUUUCAAUUUUUUAUAGCUUCUUAAGCUAUCUGAAAUUUGUCUUUACAUAGUAUGAGAUAUGAUGUUAUUUUUUUUCCCAUACAGUGGAGUCACUUUCCUAACACCAUGAAAAUAAUCCAUCCUUUCCCCACUGAUCUAUGUUGCCCCCUCUAUCACAUACCAAAUAUCAACAUGCAUGGGUCUCUUUCUGGAUUCUUCUCUUCUGUUCCAUUGGUCUGUACUGCUUACACUACAAAAAAUUAGACUUUAUACUGUAUCUUAAUAUCUAGUAGGGUAAGAUCCCCAUCUUUGCUCUUUUUUUGAGACUACUUUGUCUUAGCUACUCAUGGAAACUUAUUCUUCCAUGCAAAUUUUAGAAUUGGUUUAUCCAAUUUCUCUCUCCAAAUAUUUCUUAGAAUUAUAUGUGUUGACACCAUGACAGUGCUAUGCCUUUCUUUUCACAAACAUAUCUCUAUUUAUCCAAGAAAUAAACCUCUCCUUUAGUGAGCUUUCUCUGACAUGCCUGGCUAAGUUAAUUUCUAGAUAAUUCAUUUCCUCUCCUCUCGCUCUCUUUUUUAACAUUCUCCAUUUUAAUAGAUGGGAAUAGUAUCUUCUUUCAGGACAGCCAAGUUUUUUAGACACUUCCCUUCGUGACCCUGUAUCCUGGAUUACCUCUUUGGCAAGGAAUGACCCCAAAGAUGCCCCCUACCAGGAUCUGGUAGAACCAGGAAAGCAAUCAUCAGAUGGUCAGUUGACAAGAGUUCAAAUCUGCCAAAAGUGCUGUGCAUCUCUGAGGCUUUGAAACAACCUUGCCUACAAAAUGAGACGGAAAGAAUUGUACUGACCUGGAUUCCUUUCAAGGAUACCAGUAUGCUCAUUUGAAAGAGAUACUUAAACUGCUUGGGUAUUGGGGGAGGGAAAAGGUGAUUUGCACUGUUAAACUGCCUUCUAAGGAAGAUGGGUCUGCUCAACUACAGGCCACUAAUCUCAUCAAGCCAGUCAUGCAAGUUUGGGGCAGAGCUGAAUUGCUUGUUGCCACAAGGAUUCUUCCUUCCCAGCUCUUUUCUUUUCUUUUCUUUUUUAAGAUUUUAUUUUUAUUUAUUUAUUUGUCAGAGAGAGAGGUAGAGUGAGCGCAAGCACAAGCAGACAGAGUGGCAGGCAGAGGCAGAAGGAGAAGCAGGCUCCCUGCAGAGCAAGGAGCCCGAUGUGGGACUCGAUCCCAGAACGCUGGGAUCAUGACCUGAGCCGAAGGCAGGUGCUUAACCAACUGGGCCACCCAGGCGUCCCCCCAGCUCUUUUCUUAUGCUUCAACCAGCCUCCCUUCUAAGCAAAUGUUGAGCAAACAUGCAUUUAAAGGGAAAAAGAGACACUGGAUUAUUAGCUUCUCUGGGCACUAUCCAUCUCAGGCUGGCAAGUUAUGGGAUAGUGAGAGAGAAAUGGGUCCUGGCAAGAAUGAAGCAGAAGCCCAAACCUAAAGGGACCAGGACAUCAGGUAGACAACCAAGGUAGGAACUUGGGAAUGAGGAGCAGGGCCAAAGACCCAGCACAGUAACUGCAGCCCACACAAGGAAGAAUAGGACUUCUUAAACCAGGUAACAGUCCAAUUAUUGAAACAUCAGCACAUAUCCCAAGAAAAAAAAAAGCCAAAGACCUGAGCAGGCAAAUCGCCAAAUGAAGAAAAACAAAGGGCCAAUAUAAGAAAAGAAAAUGGUCAAUCUCACUAGAAAACAAAACAACAAUAAGGGAUUUCCCACACACACACACACCCCUAUCUGAUUGGCGAGGUUUCUUUUUUGCUUUCUCCUUCCCUUUGUUUUUGCUUGCUCACUCCCUCUCUUCUUUAUGGUGAUACUGAUUGUUGAGAGACUGUGGUGGAAGGGUGCCGUCCUGCAGAGCUGGUGGUUCUGUGAAUUGGCACAGCUUCUCUGGAGGGCAAUUUGGCAGACUGUGUGAAAAACCCUAAAGACAAGCACUCUUUGAUCCAGCAAUUCUACUUCUAGGAAUUUCUCCUAAGGAAAUAAUUGGAAGUGAACACAAAGAUGAAUAAUAGCAGCUUAACAUUUACGGGAUGUUCACUCGGUGCCAGGCAAUAUGUUAAGGUCUUUACAUUUACCUCAAUUAGACCUUGCAGUUGCAUCCAAUGAGAUGGCUAUUGCCAUGUCCAUGUCCAUUUUCAGGUGGGGAAACUGAGGCUCAACAAGGGCUUAUAAAUUGCACAAAUUCGAGCCUGCCAAGCAAGUGAUAAGCUGGGGCUCAAUCCCCAAUCUCUUUAAUUCUGAAACCCAUGCUCUUAGCCACCACACUAUCCUGCCCUCCAGAAAGCUGUAUAAAAAUGGUGUGCCACAAUCAAAACCACAAUGAGAUAUCACCUCACACCAGUCAGAAUGGCUAAAAUAAACAAGUCAGGAAAUGACNNNNNNNN